rnacentral:rRNA from 1 species
UACGUAGGGUGCAAGCGUUGUCCGGAAUUAUUGGGCGUAAAGAGCUCGUAGGCGGUUCGUCGCGUCGGCUGUGAAAACCUGAGGCUCAACCUCAGGCCUGCAGUCGAUACGGGCGGACUUGAGUACUGCAGGGGAGACUGGAAUUCCUGGUGUAGCGGUGAAAUGCGCGGAUAUCAGGAGGAACACCGGUGGCGAAGGCGGGUCUCUGGGCAGUAACUGACGCUGAGGAGCGAAAGCGUGGGGAGCGAACAGG